AUUGAACGCUGGCGGCAGGCCUAACACAUGCAAGUCGAGCGGAUGAAGAGAGCUUGCUCUCUGAUUUAGCGGCGGACGGGUGAGUAAUGCCUAGGAAUCUGCCUGGUAGUGGGGGAUAACGUUCCGAAAGGAACGCUAAUACCGCGUACGUCCUACGGGAGAAAGCAGGGGACCUUCGGGCCUUGCGCUAUCAGAUGAGCCUAGGUCGGCUUAGCUAGUUGGUGAGGUAAUGGCUCACCAAGGCGACGAUCCGUAACUGGUCUGAGAGGAUGAUCAGUCACACUGGAACUGAGACACGGUCCAGACUCCUACGGGAGGCAGCAGUGGGGAAUAUUGGACAAUGGGCGAAAGCCUGAUCCAGCCAUGCCGCGUGUGUGAAGAAGGUCUUCGGAUUGUAAAGCACUUUAAGUUGGGAGGAAGGGCAGUAAGUUAAUACCUUGCUGUUUUGACGUUACCGACAGAAUAAGCACCGGCUAACUUCGUGCCAGCCGCCGCGGUAACAC
rnacentral:rRNA from 1 species